rnacentral:rRNA from 1 species
GUGGGGAAUAUUGCACAAUGGGGGAAACCCUGAUGCGGCCAUGCCGCGUGUGUGAAGAAGGCCUUCGGGUUGUAAAGCACUUUCAGCGAGGAGGAAAGGUCAGUAGCUAAUACCUGCUGGCUGUGACGUUACUCGCAGAAGAAGCACCGGCUAACUCCGUGCCAGCAGCCGCGGUAAUACGGAGGGUGCAAGCGUUAAUCGGAAUUACUGGGCGUAAAGCGCACGCAGGCGGCUGGAUAAGUUAGAUGUGAAAGCCCCGGGCUCAACCUGGGGAUUGAAAUUAAAACUGUCCAGCUAGAGUCUUGUAGAGGGGGGUAGAAUUCCAGGUGUAGCGGUGAAAUGCGUAGAGAUCUGGAGGAAUACCGGUGGCGAAGGCGGCCCCCUGGACAAAGACUGACGCUCAGGUGCGAAAGCGUGGGGAGCAAACAGGAUUAGAAACCCUAGUAGUCC